UACAGAGGGUGCAAGCGUUAAUCGGAAUUACUGGGCGUAAAGCGUGCGUAGGCGGAUAUUUAAGUCGAAUGUGAAAUCCCCGGGCUUAACCUGGGAACUGCAUCCGAUACUGGAUAUCUGGAGUAUGGUAGAGGAAAGUGGAAUUCCCGGUGUAGCGGUGAAAUGCGUAGAUAUCGGGAGGAACAUCAGUGGCGAAGGCGACUUUCUGGACCAUAACUGACACUCAGGGACGAAAGCUAGGGGAGCGAAUGGG
rnacentral:rRNA from 1 species